UCCGGCGUGGUGUAAUCGGCAACACGGAGGGUUUUGGUCCCUUUGUUCCUGGUUCGAGUCCAGGCGCCGGAGC
rnacentral:tRNA from 1 species